GAAAUAUUAAUAUUAAUAAUAGCUGCUAACUAAUUAUUUAACGAAUAAUAACGUUAUAUUUCU
rnacentral:tRNA from 1 species